UUCUCGUUCCUCUUCUUCCCGUUCUUUCUUCUUUUCUUCCUGUUUUCGCCAGCGAGAGUUUUUAGAGUUAAGAGUGAGUUUUGAUUGAAGAAGCUCGGUGAUGGAGUUGUAUGCAUGUUAUAGGAUCCAAGGUUGUUGUUGAUGAAGAAGAAAAGAUGAAUCAAAGAACCAAGUUAGGAUUUUCAGUGAAUAGGAAUUAGGGUUUCUUAAUAAGCUCAUAAAAGAUGUAGAUGAUGCAGUUGAGAGUUUUGGGAAAAGAUUGGAUAUGGGUUUGGUUGAUAUGAAGAUUUAAUUGUUGUCUUGGGUUCGAAUUAAAGAAGCUACGGGUUGUAAGAUGAACUCUGAGAAUGGUGAGAAGAUGAAAUAGAUGGGUAAAUGAGUUGUUGGUAGUCAAACAACAAAGGGUUUAUUGUUUAAUUGAUGAUGUGAAUCGGUGUUGUUGAUGAAUCAGGAAGUUAGGGUUUCUCAGAGAAUCGAAUUGGAGUUCAAUUAGGUGAUGAUUAAGAUGGAAUUAGAGAUGGGUUUAUGUGUAUCAAGGUUUAGAGUUGAAGAAUUAGGGUUUGAUUAUGUUUAUUGAAGAGUAUUGGGAAUUGGCUGUGAUGAACAAUUACAGAUGGAAAAUAAGAAUAGUGUUGAAUAAUUAACAAAGGAAGAAGAUUUCUGAGUUUGAGUUGUCUUUUGAGUGUGUGGGUGAACCAAGGGUGAUGUUGAGUUGCAAUAGUUCAAGAUUAAGAGGGUUGUUGAUGAUUGUGGAAGCAACAGAUGGGUAUUUGGUGUUGAUUGAGAUUGAACUAAAUGAGCAGAGCAGAUUGGUUAGUCUUAAGGAGUUGGACUUGUAUUGGAGGUGGUUGUAAUCGAGUAUGUUGGAGGUCUGUUAUUGAAUUGUAGUCGAGUCUUGCUCAUACAUGCACGGGAGUUGGAUGAAUGGAUUAGGAAUUGGCGAAUGUUGAGUGGACACUACAGCCAUGAGGUGAACUGUGUAAGGAGAAUAGAGUGUGAAGUUGGAGGAGAUGUUGAUGUUUUUUUUGGAAAUGGAGCCUCAGGUGAUGAACAUGAAGAAGUUGAUAAUGCUUUGUGUAUUGUGAAUUAAAGUUUGUAUAUAAUGAAGCGGUUUUGGAUGAUUGAUUGUGAUGUGAGAUUGCAUGCGAUAUUGAACUGGUGGUGCUGGAGUGGUUAAGAUGGAUAUGCUGAUGUUGUUUAGGUGUGGUCAUGAGAGUUGUAUUGUAGUAGUUUAUAGAAUGAAUGGUUCCUGAAGUUCAUUCCAUGAAGAAUGGUGAAUUCAGAGUUGUA